rnacentral:rRNA from 1 species
UACAGAGGUCUCGAGCGUUAGGCGGAAUCACUGGGCUUAAAGCGUGUGUAGGUGGAUGCCUAAGUACCUUGUGAAAAUCCCACGGCUUAACCGUGGAACUGCUUGGUAUACUGGGUGUCUUGAGUCACUCAGGGGCGAGCGGAACAAAUGGUGGAGCGGUGAAAUGCGUAGAUAUCAUUUGGAACGCCAAUGGGUGAAAACAGCUCGCUGGGGGUGCACUGACACGUGAGACACGAAAGCCCAGGGGAGCGAACGGG